GCCAGAGAGGCUAGAACGAAGCAAGCAGAGGAAGGUGGGAUAAGCUGGCUUGCUGAGUUUUCUAACUUUCAUCUUUUUCCCAUGCUGGAUGCUUCCUGCCGUUGGACAUCAGACUCCAGGUUCUUCGGGGACUCUUGGACUUACACCAGCGUUUUGCCGGGGGCUCUGUCGGCUGCACUGUCAGUUUCCCUACUUUUGAGACUUUUGGACUCGGACUGAGCCACUACUGGCUUCCUUCUUUCUCAGCUUGGAGACAGCCUAUCAUGGACUUCGCAUUGUGAUCGUAUGGUGCUGUAAUGGAAAUCCUUUAUUUGUGACUCUUGUGGCCUUGUGUGAGAGUUUUUUCCUAAGAAAUACCUGAAACAAUAUUCUAUAUUGCAAAUACUAAUUUUUCGGUGUUCCUGUUUGCUCCGGACAUCUGUUUCUGAACUGUCAAUACAUACCAGAUGGACUACAGAGAACCAGAGAGAGUUUUAAAUGUCUUAUUACCAGAACUUAAAGACCUUUAAGCAGAUGCAUGUAAAAAAAUGAUGGUACUUGACAGUCCAGCUGCCACAAUGCUUUCAAAAAACUGGAUUUCUACUGGAUUCUUCAAGAUUACAAAGUUACAGCCUUAACAAACAGUUUGCUGAUAGGCUGUGGGGAGAGUGGAGAAAGAUGAGGUUGGACAAAAAAGGUAAGGUCUGAGUAUGAAGAAUCUUCCACACCAUAAGGCAGAACAAUGGGGAGCCAAUGAAAGGUUUUAAGCAAAGGUGUGAAAUAAACAGAACUUUAUAAAGACGACUAUGAUGAUAGUGUGGAGAACGAAUGUGGAAAGACUAGAAGCAGAAAAAGAGUUGCAGUAUCUCAAAUAAUUAUGAUCUGGAUUAAUGCAGUAGCAGUAGGAAUACACAAAAAUAGAGCAACCAAGGAGUCAGAACUGAUAGGAUCUGGUGACUGACUAGUUGUAAAGCAGGCUGAGGAAGAGUCAAGACUGACCUCUAGGUUUUUAGGUUACAUGAGUGAGUACCAUUCACUAAGAUAGUAUGAUAGGAUAAUGACCCCAGAAAUGUUCAUGUCUUAAUCUUUGAACCCCUGGAAAUUUGCAUGGCAUGGGACCAAAUCAAGGACC
rnacentral:lncRNA from 1 species